ensembl:lncRNA
GCCUGGAAGUUGCUAGACAGCAAGCAGCAUGAGAGUUGAUAUGCAAAUACUUUAGCUUUCUCAUUCCUUGGACAGCUGCAGGGUGACUGAACCCCAAUCACCCACUUUAGUAACUAGCUCAUUGGCCUAUCCUGUACUGCUUCUUUUCCAUCCGUAUCUCAUUUUCUUAUUUGCCUGGUCUUUCUGGGAUUACUGCCUAAAUUAAAUUAUUACUUGAAUUCAGGAUUUGCUUCUGGGAAACCCAAACUAAGAUACUCUUAUCCUUGCUACCCACUUCUGUCUGAUCACAGUAACCUUAACACAUACUCUGAAUGAUUCAAACAGCUUUGACCCUUCCCUUUCCAUGCCUCCUCAUGCUUCUUUCCUCACUUUUCACAAUAACGUAUACACCAGGAGGUUGCUACCCUGCCUGGUUUCCUUCAGGCUUGCUCUGAUUCCUCUGCACAGGUGGCAUAUUGCUUAGAUUUUGCCCCAAUUCUGACUGCACAUUAAGAGAUAGGGAGUAGGACUUAGGAGCAUAGGUCUAUCCUGUUGUGAUGGAUAGCAUUCUCUUUCCAUAUUUCCUCCCCCAACAGGGAGAGGAUGGAAGUGUUUUUCAUGAAGACAGGAAAUAUCUUCACCGCAGCCUUGGGAAUUAGAUGAAAUUACCCUAAAGGAGCAGGCUCAUUGGUUGUGCAAGAUUCAGCAACAAGAAGCAGGUACUCCUUCCUUGUCAGGAUUCCAGCAUGCACCAACUUCAGCCACAUCAGUUGAUAGUUAAACAGAAGGAGCACGGUUUAAUUUUCAGUCACCAUGUACAGGAACUCUGAAUCCUUGCAUGGAGCGUGAAUUUUGCUGCUAGCUCUUUAGGACACAAGUCACUCUGUAAGCAUUUGCAUCAUGAUCAUGUCACUUCCUUCAAAAUCUCUCAGUGGUGGGUCACUGUGCCUCUGUCAUUCAGUUCAUACACUGACAGCAAAGCAAGCCUUGUCUUCUAGGGAGAACUCAUAGGACAUUUUGCAAAAUGGAUAAUCACUGGAGGGAACCAACUGUCAAACCAUGCAAGUGAAGCAAAGGAAUCAAAGAUGAGAACACAGGAAGUGAAUUCAAAUUGAACAUAAACGAAGUCAAAAGAUACAGCUUAGCAUAGGAAGGUUGAUAGUCAUUCUGGACUCUACCUAAGCAACCAAAGGAAUUGAGUGAGAGUUAACUUACUUACAUAAAUAAGGAAGUGAUGAAAGGAGGAAGAUGUCCUAGGGAAGUGAUGUUAGCAGAAAAUCACAUUAAUGGAAUACUCAGAUAUUUCACGUUAUUGAAAAUACAAAGGAUAAAAUGUCAGAAUUUAAUCCAAAUUUAGAAAGAUAACUGACAAUUUAUCAAGGCAUAGAGGAGAUAUUUGCACAUUAUUGUAAGAUAUAUGACAAAAAGGUAGAGCUUUGUAUUUUAAAUAUAUUUUUCCUGUAUAUUACAUCCUAAAAACCCUCUUGGCUCAGAAAUGCCUGCCCCUCCUGGAGCUAGCCAAUCUUGCCGGAAAGGACUCAAUCAGGAGCUGCUUCUGAUAUGGAAACUACCCAUACUUUGAACCCAGGCCCCUUCUCUUUGGGGCCUAUCCCCAGGAGGCAAUAUUCCUCUGCCUUAGUCACCCCAGGGCCAUCACCAGGCAACCAGGACCCUAUAGCACAAAACCUGCUGAAAUUAUUCAAAUGAACCAACCUAAACUUUUCACCCUCCCUGACUUCCUUUCCCCUCAGAAACCACAAUAAAGGCUCUGGACUAAUCCUUGCCCUGGCUCCUAUAUUCUACCUCCUCACCCUUCUGAGGCUUCCCCAUGUGCUGGGCCUCUGGUUGUGACUUUGAUACUGUACACUUGGUUUUCUUGAACCUCUUCUCUGGGUUCUCUUGUACACAUGACUGAGCAUCACAUAAAAGCACAGAGAACACACUCCUCAAACAAAGAAAACCCUUUAACUUUUGAUAUUAUUUCUAUUCUUAAAUUAUAAUAUGCUAAAUAUUUACUUUACCAAUUUUUGUUAUACAAUUUUUAUAACCUGUGCAGAAUUUUUAAUAUUUUGACAACACUGUGUAAUAAUUUUUUCUAGAGAUUAUUAUUUUGCAAGGUUUCUGCCUGAGCAGUCAUUUUCAUGGUCCUGCACCACUGAGUGAAGACUGCAUGUACUUGAAGUUUUAUCUCAUUUAAAAGAGAAUGAUGAAACAUGUAGGCUCUGGAUUCGGGCUGCCUAGGUUCACAUUCUGAUUCUUGCACCAAAUUGCUUGCUAUCUGCUCUUGGUCAAGUAAAUCAACCCACUCAAAACUCAGUUGCCUUUUAAAAAAAAUCUGAACAACAACAACAAAAGAAAUAAUAAUACUUAAUACACAGUGUUUUGGAGAUAAUAAGUGAAUAGACUUUAGAAAGUGUGCCUGAAAUUCAAGAAGCAUUCUGAAAAUAAGCUCCACCAAAGUGGAGAUCUUAUCUUUUUCUCUUCAUUGUAAUAUCCUUUCAUUUAGACCAAAGCCUGACACAUGUAGUAGUUGCUCAAUAAAUAUUUGGUGCACAAAAGGGUGAAUAGUCAUAUUUAGUAUUCAAUAAAUGUCAGAGAUCUGAUUGUUUUCGUUUUUCUCACUUUAUGGAUGUCAUACACCUUUAUAGAGUUUAAGGAAAUCAUAGGACCCAGUUUUACAGAGAAGCAGGGUCUUUCAAUGAGGUUAACUUUUUUAAUAUAAAUAACAAACUCCUACAAACCUAUAGGGAAAACCCUAAUAUAUAAAAUAAUAGAAAAGAAAAGAACAAUUAAAUUUACCAAAAAUUAUAA